CUUUCAGUGACAAAACAUUACUUCAUUCUGAAAGACCCCUGGAGCAGGGAGACCCUCACUCAAGUCUCGGGAUGAUGCGACCCCCCAAGAACUCACGUGAGACC
rnacentral:pre_miRNA from 14 species